AAGAAAGCGGAGGAGAAAGAAAAAAGGAGAAAAAGAAAAAGACGGGGAAAAAAAGCAACGGGCGGGCGAACAAGCUGAGAGAAGGAGAAAGGCGAUCAAAGAACUGUGAAAAAAAAAAGAAGAGAAAAAAAUCGGUAAAGGAAAAAAAAAGAUGAUGCCAGUGAUAUAUGCGUAGAAAAAUGUGGUGGAGUUUUGAAGUGAAGUAAUGAUCAAAAUGUCUUUGGGUUGGUUUCCCCCCCUUCCCCAUUUUUUUUUUUUUUUUUUUUUUUUUUUUUUUUUUUACUUUCCAUCUUCAAGCUCAGCUUGUCUCAGCUGCUGGUUAUACCAGGAAUACAAGUUAAUAGUAUUUUCAUUUCAUUUGCAAGUUCUGUUUCUGGAUUUUUAAAAAUUAUCUUGUACAUGCAUUGGAAGGUUGGAAUUUACAUAAUUCUAUAAUACUUUCUUUUCUCUCUCUCUUCCCUCUCUCUUUUCCUGGUGGGCUGUUUUAGUUUGGAGGCGUAUUGUACCAGUGUGGGAAUCUUGAUGGUUACAACAUUGAUGAGAUGUUGGAUGAUGGCCACAGGUGGAGUAAACUGAAUGUUUUUAGAGCAGGUUUUUUUUUUCAGCAUGACACUUUUGAAAUAUGUAAUUUCAAAAAAAAAAAAAAAGUAUGAAAAGGAAUUUUCAAAAAAAAAAAAAUCACAUGAAAAAUAGUUUUUUCAUAACCACUCCAGGUGUGGGGACAAGAGGAACGCUGAAAAGUACUUUUGUUUAGAAGUCUGAAUGAUGGUAUUGGGGGAAGACCUCAAUGGUUUUUGCAUGCCAGUGCACGGGCUUUUGCUGUAGGAAGGGGGGAAAGAAGAGAGUUACGUUUGCUUGAGGCAAUGCACUGGAGGACAAAAGUAUUUUCUAGCACUAGGAAAAAAGAAAAUGCAUGGCAGAGUUUCGUCUUCUAGUAGACUAUAUAGCAUGCAGAGUUUAGUAUGUGUCAAAACAGUGUAUGACAUUGCUGUAUCAAAGUUGUAAAGUUAAGCAUUAUUUAUUGAAAACUAUGUAUUUUUUUUGUAAAGACCUGAUCACCUAGACAAUUAAUAUUCACUUGUGCUAGUGCUACAUUCUUAACCAGCUUCUUUUACUACAGUACUUGAUAUGCAGUGUUAAACGCUCAGGGUUGAAAAAAAAAAACACAGUCCACUUCAAUGUCUUUUCUCUCUUAUUCUUUUUUUCUCCUUUGGGAAAGAAUUUCACACAAAGGAACAAAUUGAUGCAGUUGUUCAAAGAGUCUAAUAAAACUGUGUGAUCAAUCUUUGUAUGUGUUUUU
rnacentral:lncRNA from 1 species